CCGCCCACCCCAUUGAAACCAGAAGUCCCAAUUCUAUCCGAAAAUAAAAAAACUGCGUAGGAAUCUUGAGCUUGAGAUCGAACGAAAUCCAUCUUGGGAUGCAUGGCGUGCCGCGUUAGUAAUAUCAACUGUCUCCGGGCAUACCCUCCUUCCACGCCGCGUUUCUCGCCCAAAUGUCAUCACCAAAACCCUAACUCUCCUCCUCUCCUACUUAAUAAUCAUUCCUUUCCCCCUCCUCCUACCCUCAAACCCCGUCUUCCAAAACAGAUGAUGUCGUGCUCCGUUACUCUUCGGCGCAGCUUUGUUACUGUGAAGUCUCACAUGGCCACUGCCGAGGAGAUGUCCAUUUCAGAGGACCGCAUGCUUGUAUUUGUGCCUCCACAUCCAUUGAUAAAGCACUGGGUUUCCGUUUUGAGAAAUGAACAAACUCCUUCCCCGAUUUUCAGGAAUGCUAUGGCUGAGUUAGGCAGGCUACUUAUAUAUGAAGCUUCAAGGGACUGGUUGCCUAUGGUCACUGGAGAGAUUCAGUCACCGAUGGGAGUUGCAUCUGUUGAAUUUAUUGAUCCAAGAGAGCCUGUGGCAAUUAUUCCAAUCUUGCGAGCUGGUCUUGCUCUUGCAGAACAUGCAUCAUCAAUUCUGCCAGCAACCAAAACAUACCAUCUAGGGAUAAGUAGAGAUGAAGAGACACUUCAACCAACAAUAUAUCUGAAUAAGUUGCCUGACACAUUCCCUGAAGGGUCUCGAGUUCUUGUGGUCGAUCCUAUGCUGGCAACAGGGGGGACGAUAGUGGCGUCGCUUGAACUUAUUAAGGAGCGUGGGGUUGAAAACCAGCAGAUCAAAGUGAUAUCUGCUGUAGCUGCUCCUCCAGCCCUUCAAAAGCUCAGUGAGAAAUUCCCGGGGCUUCAUGUUUACACUGGAAUCAUAGACCCCACUGUUAACGACAAAGGGUUCAUAGUUCCUGGACUUGGAGAUGCAGGAGAUCGCAGCUUCGGAACAUGAAGUCCAAGUAGAUUUUCAUUUUGUUGUAGAUGUUAAUGGCUUCAUGCAGCGAUGGCAACUAAAUCAACUGUGCCCCCUAUAUAUAUAUAUAUAUAUAUAUAUAUAUAUUUGUUAAUAUCCCCAGUACCCUCAUCCCAUUUCCUAUCAUGCCUUUAAUAUGGGUUUCCCCAGUUGAAUACAUAUGGGUAUUUUUUAUUUUUUAUUUUUAUGAGAUGAUCAUAUGUAAGAAGUAACAAGUAUGACAAAGAUGAUAGAGAACGUGAAAGUAGUUUCAGUUACUGCCCCUACCACCACUACCACCAGCUUCACGACCCUCUUCUAUGGUGCCAUAAUCUUCAUCAACACCUUUGAUUUUGGCGCCAUUUUCUUCAAUUGGCUUGGACUGCUCGACCUCUUUGCGGUUAAAACCUAGCUUGCAGAGACAAAUCGACAAGAAAGCUGCUACAAAUGCAGCUAAGAGGCCUCCAUUACUGAAACUUGAGAAACAAGGGAUAUCACUGCCUCUCUCUCUUUGAUAGCCAAGUGAUUGUCUAAGGUUUGCUGCCAGCUAGGUGGAGCGAGCGCAAACAGCGAGUUUACGAUUCCAGGCACAACAGGAGCAAGCCUUGGUCUGUUGAUUUUCCUGAGCAGCUCGAAACUCUGAAUUGAUGCCGUCCAUUCUUACGUAUUGCAAGGGUCUCCGUCAGAGUUCCAGUUUGCAUGCAGGCUGGCUGUAGCGGCCAAGGAUAAUAGAAAAUGACGUAGAAAUCAAGGAUAUAUUCAAGAAGACAAACUCAGAGACUUCGCUCAAUGCUCCUCAGAACAUCCCGCAACAAUGUCAGACAGAAGUCAUAAAUAUUCCACGCACGUAAAUGAGAUCAUCUAAUAACAUUCCUUGGCAUGGAAAUAUAAAAAUAUGAGAUAGAUUGCGACUUAUGCCCCGAAAGAGGGUGGAAGAAAUCCCUGGUGGCGGCUUAGUGUGGUUUUUAGUGAACAGAUACAUUCUAUAUUUCUGAUCUAAACUACGUGCCAAAGACUUAGUCUUAUGUUAAAUAAUUAAAAACUAAUUCGAAA